GUCACCAUGCCAAAGCCCCAAGCACUUUCCCCUAGUCAAUAGCGCUCCCAUUCACUGCACAAAACCUUUUUACAGCAGCAAGGACUCGCACGAGGCUUCAUAAUCAACGCAGAACGCCGCGGCAUCACCUGCGUAAGCUGUGCGGUUCUCAUUUGACCUGCCCAUUCGGCAGCUACUUUACACUGGGUGCAUGGUUCCACCUUUGAAUUGGGUCUGUAACACGCAAGGAAUUGCCUGGUUAUUCGCUAACCUGAGUUAGGAGAAGCCCACGCGCCAUUCCUGUCGAGGGAGCCACGCACGUCAAGCCAGAGAGUCAAGGUGGCGCGUACAACCAAUGAAGCCUCUACGUAAGACGCACUGUCUGCAGCGACACCGAUUAUG